GGGCCAUUAGCUCAGUUGGUUAGAGCUCCCGGCUCAUAACCGGUCGGUCCUGGGUUCGAGUCCCCGAUGGCCCA
rnacentral:tRNA from 1 species